rnacentral:misc_RNA from 1 species
GAAAUGCGAUAAGUAAUGUGAAUUGCAGAAUUCUGUGAAUCAUCGAAUCUUUGAACGCACAUUGCGCCCGCCAGCACUCUGGCGGGCAUGCCUGUUCGAGCGUCAUUUCAACCCUCAGAACCCCUUGCGGGAUCUGGCGUUGGGGAUUGGCAUCCAGCCAGCCCCGAAAUCUAGUGGCGGUCCCUCCGCGACCUCCCCUGUGCAGUAGCGAUACCUCGCAGCGGGACAGCGGUCUGACCACGCCGUAAAACCCCCAACUUCUCAAGGUUGACCUCGAAUCAGGUAGGAAUACCCGCUGAACUUAAGC